rnacentral:rRNA from 1 species
CCUACGGGAGGCAGCAGUGGGGAAUAUUGGGCAAUGGAGGAAACUCUGACCCAGCGACGCCGCGUGCGGGAUGAAGGCCUUCGGGUUGUAAACCGCUUUCAGUAGGGAAGAAGCGAAAGUGACGGUACCUACAAAAGAAGCACCGGCUAACUAUGUGCCAGCAGCCGCGGUAAUACAUAGGGUGCAAGCGUUGUCCGGAAUUAUUGGGCGUAAAGAGCUCGUAGGUCGUUUGUUACGUCGGAUGUGAAAACCUGAGGCUCAACCUCAGGCCUGCAUUCGAUACGGGCAAACUAGAGUUUGGUAGGGGAGACUGGAAUUCCUGGUGUAGCGGUGGAAUGCGCAGAUAUCAGGAGGAACACCAAUGGCGAAGGCAGGUCUCUGGGCCAAUACUGACACUGAGGAGCGAAAGUCUGGGGAGCGAACAGGAUUAGAUACCCUGGUAGUCCAGACCGUAAACGGUGGGCACUAGUUGUGGGAACCUUCCACGGUUUCUGCGACGCAGCUAACGCAUUAAGUGCCCGCCUGGGGAGUACGAUCGCAAGAUUAAAACUUAAAUGAAUUGACGG